ensembl:lncRNA
UGGCAGAGGAGGAUAAGAAGGCAAUGUGACCUGGCAGAGGAGGAUAAGAAGGCAUGUGACCUGGCAGAGGAGGAUAAGAAGGCAUGUGACCUGGCAGAGGAGGAUAAGAAGGCAUGUGACCUGGCAGAGGAUGCUGAAACAUUUUUAAUGGACAAUGACCCAACACACAUCCAGGCUGUGUAAGGGCUAUUUAACCAAGAAGGACAGUGAUGGAGUGCUGCAUCAGAUGACCUGGCCUCCACAAUCACCCAACCACAAACCCAAUUGAGAUGGUAUGGGAUGAUUUAGACCAAAGAGUGAAGGAAAAUCAGCCAACAAGUGCUCAGCAUAUGUGGGAACUCCUUCAAACUGUUGGAAAAGCAGUCCUCGUGAAGCUGGUAGAGAGAAUGCCAAGAGUGUGCAAAGCUGUCUUUAAGGCAAAAAGUGUCUACUUUGAAUAAUCUAAAAUAUAUUUUGAUUUUCUUUGAACUUUUCUGGUUACUACAUGAUUCCAUAUGUGUUAGUUCACAGUUUUGAUGUCUUUACUAUUAUUCAACAAUGUAGAAAAUGGUAAAAAUAAAGAAAAACCCUUCAAUGAGUAGGUGUGUCCAAACGUUUGACUGGUACUGUUAAUAUAUAUAUAUAUAUAUACUCCGGACUCUGACGUUACUCAUCCUAAUAGUUCUAUAUUUCUUAAUUCCAUUCGUUUACUUUUUAUUGGUGUGUAUUGUUGUGUAUUGUUAGAUAUUUCUGCACUAUUUGAGCUAGGAACACGAGCAUUGUGCUACACCCAUUUAGCUACAAAUACUGUAUGUCUACACAACCACAAAAAUUUGAUUUGACACAGACAAACACACGCUACACAGGAAGUGAACGUUAAUCCGGUGAGGCCUUGUUUGCGGUAAUAAGGCCUUGGGAGUGCACAGAAUCUUAUUUUAUAAUCCUCCCGCUGGAAAUUAAGUCUGACCUUUUAAGUUAGCAAUUAGUUGCCCGAGCUGCUUGCUAAUAGAAUUCAGGAGAGGGAAAAACUCACUCAAAAAUGAUCUUCGGGGCGAAGAAGGAGGAAUGUCGCAUCAGCAGUUGGAUUUAUCUGAAGUCUUGUCCGAAAUGGCUCCCUAUCUCCCUAUAUACUGCACUACUGGGGCUAUAUGGGUGCUAUUUGGGACGUAACCUUUUAAGGUGGCGCAGAGAAGUUGUCAAGCUCCUAGAGCUGUGGAGAUGUCAUUUUGUAUGGUAAUUCUGUAUCAGGAAAUGAUGACAACACUGUUUCAAAAGACUAGCAAAGUAGAAAUGGAAGAAGUACUGAGAAGUAGAUCUGAUGCAUGUCUCAUUCAAAUGUUGUCAACAAAGUAAUAUUGAACCCCAAAAUAAAUAAUGUAUUGGUGACAUUUGGGACACAGACUUUCUGUGAAACUGUGUAACUAUCGGUCUAAUUAAAGUGUAGAGAUAUAAUAAUAUAUAAAAUAUUUAUUGUCCUCUGAAUAUCCUGCUUUGACAUUAACUGCC